rnacentral:tRNA from 1 species
GCAUACUUAGCUCAAUGGCUAGAGCAUCACUCAUGAAUGCUGAGGUUGUGGUUUUGAGUCCCACAGUACACA